rnacentral:rRNA from 1 species
GUGCCAGCAGCCGCGGUAAUACGGAAGAUGCGAGCGUUAUCCGGAUUUAUUGGGUUUAAAGGGAGCGUAGGCGGGCGAGCAAGUCAGUUGUGAAAGUUUGCGGCUUAACCGUAAAAUUGCAGUUGAAACUGUUUGUCUUGAGUGCACAUGAGGAUGGUGGAAUUCGUGGUGUAGCGGUGAAAUGCUUAGAUAUCACGAAGAACUCCGAUUGCGAAGGCAGCUAUCUAGGGUGCUACUGACGCUGAGGCUCGAAAGUGUGGGUAUCAAACAGGAUUAGAUACCCUGGUAGUCCACACAGUAAACGAUGAAUACUCGUGGUUGGCGAUAGACUGUCAGUCACCAAGCGAAAGCGAUAAGUAUUCCACCUGGGGAGUACGCCGGCAACGGUGAAACUCAAAGGAAUUGACGGGGGCCCGCACAAGCGGAGGAACAUGUGGUUUAAUUCGAUGAUACGCGAGGAACCUUACCCGGGCUUGAACUGCUGAGGAAUGUAUUAGAGAUGAUACAGCCGCAAGGUCUCAGUGGAGGUGCUGCAUGGUUGUCGUCAGCUCGUGCCGUGAGGUGUUGGCUUAAGUGCCAUAACGAGCGCAACCCUUGUUUUCGGUUGCCAUCAGGUUAUGCUGGGCACUCCGGAGAUACUGCCAUCGCAAGAUGUGAGGAAGGUGGGGAUGACGUCAAAUCAGCACGGCCCUUACGUCCGGGGCUACACACGUGUUACAAUGGGGGGUACAGAAGGUUGCUACCUGGUGACAGGAUGCUAAUCCCUAAAUCCUCUCUCAGUUCGGACUGGAGUCUGCAACCCGACUCCACGAAGCUGGAUUCGCUAGUAAUCGCGCAUCAGCCAUGGCGCGGUGAAUACGUUCCCGGGCCUUGUACACACCGCCCGU